GACGAACGCUGGCGGCGUGCUUAACACAUGCAAGUCGAACGAGUGGCGAACGGGUGAGUAACAUAUCGGAACGUACCGAGUAAUGGGGGAUAACUAAUCGAAAGAUUAGCUAAUACCGCAUAUUAUUCGAGCGGCCGAUAUCGGAUUAGCUGGUUGGUGGGGUAAAGGCCUACCAAGGCGACGAUCAGUAGCGGGUCUGAGAGGAUGAUCCGCCACACUGGUACUGAUACACGGCCCCGACUCCUACGUGAGGCAGCAGUGGGGAAUUUUGGACAAUGGGCGCAAGCCUUAUCCAGCCAUGCCGCGUGUCUGACGAAGGCCUUCGGGUUGUAAAGGACUUUUGUCAGUGAAGCGGUACCUGAAGAAUAAGCACCGGCUAACUACGUGCCAGCCGCCGCGGUAAUAC
rnacentral:rRNA from 1 species